AAACGGGAGAAGCCCCGGAGCCCUUUUAGGGGCUCUUCUUCAAAUUUGCAUUUUGAUGUAAGCACUUCGGAGCU
rnacentral:tRNA from 1 species